GUGUAAUAGCCUGGAUUCAGGCCUAGGGAAACUAGGAGGCAAGGUCUGGUCCAUGGCAACCCCAGGAUUUUCUAGGAUUUCCCUCUGUCUAAGAGCUAGGUAUAACUGUAAUUCUGAUUUAUUCUGAAGUGGGCCCAAGGUAAAUGAAAUCUGGUCUGCUGGAUCUUUCUCCAUUUCCCUAGGCUGGCUUGCAUUUCAUCAGACCUACGGAUAAUGAAAUGAGGGUCCAAGCUGUGCUUCAUUUGACAUCAGCCUUUCUUGUGUUCAGCAGGGAGAUGAUUUGCAGCUAGAGAAAAUACAGUAAACUCUACAUUGCAAUGAACAGCUUUGUAAGUAGGAAAACAGCAGGCCAAAUAAAGCUUUCCCUCUGGUUUCUGGCAGAAGUCUACACUUUAAUUUCCCCUUUCUAACCAAACCAUUAAUGAACUCAACAUUAUAGCAAGCUGUAGAAUGGUGAGAUUAUCUCAAGACCCUACUCUCUUUGACUUCUUACCCAGGUGUUCAACAACACUCACUUCCAUCUUAUUCUUGUUACACAUCUUAUUCUUGCUUGUGAGUGGAGCAAUGAAGUCUAUAAAAAAAAACAAAAACAAAAACAGAAAAACUUCUUUUUCAUUUUCUAUGAGAUGUUAGUGGAGCCAAACUGACUGGUCUAUUUCUGGGCAGUGGUAAAAAAUGAUCUUAGCUUCCCCGAAGUCCAAAAUCAAUUUUCCUUCAGUCCAGUUUAAGCUGACUACACUAAAGAGGGCUCCCAUCCAUUUAAAUGAUGGAGAACUUGUUAUUGGUACCUAACCUUUCAACUUCAGGGCCGGGGCAGGGGCUAGGGGGUCUGCAAGGCUUUAGCUUUAGAGAUCCAGGUAAUGGGUAUCCCUGGUGUUUUCAUGAAGAAAGUGUAAUUAAAUUUCUGUCGAGCUCAAUGAGAUUUAUCACCUGCCCAGAAAACAGAAACUAUUUUCGAGUUCUGAAGGGGCUUUAGAACACUUUAAUUACCUCAGCAGGGUGGGGAGGUGGGCCAUUAAACUGAACAGCAAGUCCACAGUGCUGAAGCGACAUUCUGUUAGCAUAUGCCAAAACACCUUCCUGUUUGAGCUAGUUUGGUGUUCUGAUCCAGAAACAGGAUCAGAAACUUUAUGUCUUGGAAUAUAUUCCACUGACAGCUAGAAUGUUUGCUUGAAACAUCAGGGUGACAUUUAUAUCCUCAGACAGCUUUUUCUUUUCAUCUUCACUUUACUGUAUCUACCCUUCCUGUCAUUGCUGAAAAAGCAUUGUUGUUGAUGAUACCAUUUACUGGGUCAAAAUUAGUUCUUUUGAGGAUAUGGGCAGUUGGGGUUUUUGCUCUUUCUUUUGCAUAAUUUUUAUAUUACUUACACAGUGCCGAAAUGCUUAAAGGCAAGUGCUGCAAAUAUUUGGGCUUUUUACAUGUAGAGCUACAAAGGUACCUCAUACAAUUGCCACUCCCAUAUGAAAGUUGCAGUACUAAAUUGGAAUACUGAGUUGCUAACAAAUUCUUAAGCUCACCAUCCUAGUAUUCAACAUAUAAGCAAAUUUACCUAAUCAAGACUAUAAUUUCAGGUUAUAUUUUCUUAAGCAUUCUGAAAAAUAACUUCAAAGCAGCAUGUUUUGGCCAAAUCAGGUAAAGGAGAUUGGAAAGCUGUAUCUGGAACAUGGGUGUAAUUUAUAUAUAAAAGACUCAAUUAUUAACAAGAAUGAUGAAUUACCCUCAUUCUUUUGGCUCUAUGUCAACGCUGCAAUUUGGUCUUAUGGUGACAUUCCUCUGGCCAGAUCUCUGAGGAGGUCUUCCUUAUAGCUUUUUUCUUUUCUGUUAAAAUCUCACAAAAAAGGCCAGGUGCAGUGGCUCAUGCCUGUAAUCCCAGCACUUUGGGAAGCUGAAGUGGGCGGAUCACUUGAGGUCAGGAGUUCGAGACCAGCCUGGCCAAUGUGGUGAAAUGCCGUCUCUACUAAAAAUGCAAAAAUUAGCCAGGCAUGGUGGCACAUGCCUGUAAUCCUAGCUACUGGGGAGGCUGAGGCAUAAGAAUCACUUGAACUUGGGAGGUGGAGGUUGCAGUGAGCCAAGAUCACACCACUGCAUUGCAGCCUGGGCAACAGAGUGAGACCCUGUCUCAAAAAAACAAAAAAACAAAACAAAACAAAACAAAAAAAAAAAACUCACAAAAAAUGCUCUGUUUGCUUUCUUUGCCCAUCCUUUAGGUAAGUUAAUAACCCAGAGCAGUGAGUGAGCCUGAAGGCUUGGGAAAGGGAGGAAAGAAAGGCAAUAGGAAUAGUCUUCAACAUUCUUCUCUGAUGAUUAAUCUUAAAUCAACCUGGAUGCCUUCCUUCACAAUAAUCUCAUGGAGGUAAUUUAAAGAAUCCCUUUUUUGGAGAGUCAGAGAGAAAAGCAAAAAAAUGAGCAUGAGGAAUUUGAAGACUGAGAGAUGAGUUGUGUAGCACCAACAUUUUCUUUCUGCCUGACCUUAAUACCUGAUGAAUUAAAAGGAUGUUUGGAAGAGUGAGAUAAGGGACACAUUGAAAACAGAGAGGCAAUCUGAAGGCUACCUUGACACAUCUGCAAAGCUCCCAGAUUCUGACUUUCACAAGACCUGC